AUGAACGCUAGCUACAGGCUUAACACAUGCAAGUCGAGGGGCAGCAUUUUAGUUUGCUUGCAAACUGAAGAUGGCGACCGGCGCACGGGUGAGUAACACGUAUCCAACCUGCCGAUAACUCCGGAAUAGCCUUUCGAAAGAAAGAUUAAUACCGGAUAGUAUACGAAUAUCGCAUGAUAUUUUUAUUAAAGAAUUUCGGUUAUCGAUGGGGAUGCGUUCCAUUAGUUUGUUGGCGGGGUAACGGCCCACCAAGACUACGAUGGAUAGGGGUUCUGAGAGGAAGGUCCCCCACAUUGGAACUGAGACACGGUCCAAACUCCUACGGGAGGCAGCAGUGAGGAAUAUUGGUCAAUGGGCGAGAGCCUGAACCAGCCAAGUAGCGUGAAGGAUGAAGGCUCUAUGGGUCGUAAACUUCUUUUAUAUGGGAAUAAAGUUUUCCACGUGUGGAAUUUUGUAUGUACCAUAUGAAUAAGGAUCGGCUAACUCCGUGCCAGCAGCCGCGGUAAUACGGAGGAUCCGAGCGUUAUCCGGAUUUAUUGGGUUUAAAGGGAGCGUAGGUGGAUUGUUAAGUCAGUUGUGAAAGUUUGCGGCUCAACCGUAAAAUUGCAGUUGAAACUGGGAGUCUUGAGUACAGUAGAGGUGGGCGGAAUUCGUGGUGUAGCGGUGAAAUGCUUAGAUAUCACGAAGAACUCCGAUUGCGAAGGCAGCUCACUAGACUGUCACUGACACUGAUGCUCGAAAGUGUGGGUAUCAAACAGGAUUAGAUACCCUGGUAGUCCACACAGUAAACGAUGAAUACUCGCUGUUUGCGAUAUACAGUAAGCGGCCAAGCGAAAGCAUUAAGUAUUCCACCUGGGGGGUACGCCGGCAACGGUGAAACUCAAAGGAAUUGACGGGGGCCCGCACAAGCGGAGGAACAUGUGGUUUAAUUCGAUGAUACGCGAGGAACCUUACCCGGGCUUAAAUUGCAACAGAAUAUAUUGGAAACAGUAUAGCCGUAAGGCUGUUGUGAAGGUGCUGCAUGGUUGUCGUCAGCUCGUGCCGUGAGGUGUCGGCUUAAGUGCCAUAACGAGCGCAACCCUUAUCUUUAGUUACUAACAGGUCAUGCUGAGGACUCUAGAGAGACUGCCGUCGUAAGAUGUGAGGAAGGUGGGGAUGACGUCAAAUCAGCACGGCCCUUACGUCCGGGGCUACACACGUGUUACAAUGGGGGGUACAGAAGGCGGCUACCUGGUGACAGGAUGCUAAUCCCAAAAACCUCUCUCAGUUCGGAUCGAAGUCUGCAACCCGACUUCGUGAAGCUGGAUUCGCUAGUAAUCGCGCAUCAGCCAUGGCGCGGUGAAUACGUUCCCGGGCCUUGUACACACCGCCCGUCAAGCCAUGAAAGCCGGGGGUACCUGAAGUACGUAACCGCAAGGAGCGUCCUAGGGUAAAACUGGUAAUUGGGGCU
rnacentral:rRNA from 1 species